rnacentral:rRNA from 1 species
AUUGGACGCUGGCGGCGGGCCUAACACAUGCAAGUCGAGCGGAUGAAGGGAGCUUGCUCCUGGAUUCAGCGGCGGACGGGUGAGUAAUGCCUAGGAAUCUGCCUGGUAGUGGGGGAUAACGUCCGGAAACGGGCGCUAAUACCGCAUACGUCCUGAGGGAGAAAGUGGGGGAUCUUCGGACCUCACGCGAUCAGAUGAGCCUAGGUCGGAUUAGCUAGUUGGUGGGGUAAAGGCCUACCAAGGCGACGAUCCGUAACUGGUCUGAGAGGAUGAUCAGUCACCCUGGAACUGAGACACGGUCCAGACUCCUACGGGAGGCAGCAGUGGGGAAUAUUGGACAAUGGGCGAAAGCCUGAUCCAGCCAUGCCGCGUGUGUGAAGAAGGUCUUCGGAUUGUAAAGCACUUUAAGUUGGGAGGAAGGGCAGUAAGUUAAUCCCUUGCUGUUUUGACGUUACCAACAGAAUAAGCACCGGCUAACUUCGUG